rnacentral:tRNA from 1 species
GCCGACAUAGCUCAGAGGCCAGAGCAGCACAUUCGUAAUGUGCGGGUCAGGGGUUCAAAUCCCUUUGUCGGCACCA